UCCUCCUGGAUUCCCUGGGCGCAGACGAAUGGGUAGAAUAAACCACGGUGCAGGUCCCACCCCUCCUCCUAUGGGUGGAGGAGGAUGAGGAAGGUAAACACCUGCACAACGAUGCAGGCGCACAGGGGUGAGACACCCUGGUUUUAGGCUGCAUACUGCGCUCAGAUAGGGCUCCGUUGCAGACAUGCACUCAGUACGUCACACUCCUCUUCCCACGGCUGCCGCUGCUUUCAAGCAGUUUCUUGACGUUACUCUGGGAAUUCCUCGUCUGAGGGCCAGACUGACUGAUCAUGGCAGCCAAACCCCAGCUGCCAUCAUAAAAAAACCCAGGACUCUCUCACACUUUUUUUAUUAUUAAUAUAUCUUCUGAAAUAUAUUUUGUAGUAGAUGUUGAAUGUACACUUUGCAUCAAUAAAGUAAGUUAUGAUGAUC